rnacentral:lncRNA from 1 species
AUGAAUCUCAAAGAUUUUCUAGCUGAGAAGAAUUGUAUAAACAAGGCAUGUCAAAAUUCUCUAACAAACAAAUUUUGUCUUGGUUUCCAGCAUUUACGGACACGUGGAGGAUGUAAUCAGGCAUUAUAUACUUCAGUAUGGUGCAUCAACUUUGGGGGGCAAAAGCAGAAGUCAUUACCUCUAAGAUUUCAAGUACUUUAUCAAGGGUGGGGAGUCUUCAGUUGAGUUUUGCAGUCUUCACCAAACCGCUGAGGAAUCAAAGUUGGCCUGCACUGGGGAAGCUGGCAGUCUAGAGGUGGAUACAGAAGAGAAAAUAUAACUACAAAAGAGAUCAAAACGGACAUAAAGCACAGAAGCAGCACAGAGAUGGAGGGGUCAUCUCUGUUGGGAAGGAGUGAGAGGUCCAAGGAGCCUUCCCAAAGAGGGGGUACCUCAAGGGUCAGGAUCUACUGCAGCAUCUGGCACAAUUGCUCCCCAAAACAGCUAUUGAAUGAAUAAAUGAUAUCAACACUCAGCUUUUUCCA